rnacentral:tRNA from 1 species
UCCGAGGUAGCUCAAUGGUGGAGCAGGCGGCUGUUAACCGCAAGGUCGAGGGUUCGAGCCCCUCCCUCGGAGCCA